rfam:Theileria equi strain WA gcontig_1105316255047 apicoplast, whole genome shotgun sequence.
AGAAAGAUGUCUGAGUGGUCAAAGACAUAAAUUGCUAAUUUAAUGUUUAAGGGUUCGAUUCCCUUUCUUUCUU